CCUGUGCAAACUUUCCUGUAGUCCGGAUCGAACCUACCCGUGGGUGGAAAACGGUGCUCAGUUUAUUUAAGCCUAGGGUAACGCAUCUCGAUAUGGACUUGUAGGUUCCUUCUUUUUAAAUUACAGCAACCAUUUUCUACACAGUCUUUCAGGCAACUGGCCAAAACGAAACGAAACAAACAGCCAGAGGCUCGAGAUAUGCACGCACAUUCUCAAAGUGUUCUCAUAUUGGAAGGAUUGGAAGAUAAUUUGUGCAAUGUGCGAAAUGACGAAGUGAAGAAACUGGAUGUUAAAAGGGAGUUUGGGUUCCUCUGCAGCUACGAAUUUCUAUUGUGUGGGAAAUGAUCCUUGACGUUGGAAGUUAUACUUUUCGCUGCUUUAGGCAUGAUUUAAAGAUAAUCGAUUAACUGUGUACCGUUUCGGUCAUCGUUGACUCUUAGUGACCAUGUAGAGUUUGACCUUGCUGCUGGUCAUCCUCUUUCCUCCAUCUUCCCAGUAUUAGAGCUUUCUAUAGAAAGCUGGGUUUUCAGAUAAUGUGUCUAAAAUAGAAUAAUUUGAGCCUGAUCAAGCCUGACUUGAGUGAAAAGAGAACUAAGGAGGCUUGUUUAAUAAUCCAUUUGUUAAGUUUUCUUUGCUGUCCAAAGUAUUCUCAGGAGUCUUCUCCAACCCCAAAGUUCAAAGGCAUCAAAACGGAUGCUACAGUAUUUAAAUUCAGAAUGAAAUAAGACAUUGGUCAAAAAAUGUUUAAUGUUCUUUUUUCAAAAUCUUGCUAAUACAGUAAGCCACCAGCUAGGUUAUCAGAGUAAAGUUUCUCUUAAUGGAAUGUCUCCUCAGUGGUAAUCGAGUUGUCUCAUUUUCAGAGUAGGAGGAUAUCACAGAUUUGGAAGUUUUAUCACUUGAAAACCAGUAUAUUAUGCCAGUAUAGAUGACUAGAUGUUUUUUAAGCAGCAAAUAUUUGAAUUGCACUCAGUAAACUCAGCCAUGAGAAAAUACUCCCACAGCCAAGAAUUAUCUAAUACCUUGUCUCUCAGUCAGCAUUUUCUUACCAGAAGAACAGCCUGUCUGCAUAACUGGGAAAUGAAUUCAAUCCUGGCAUCCUAUCAGCUGAUUGACUUGUAAGAUAAAGGCUCUUAAAUCUUCUCGGGAACUUAAGCAGAGCAGCAAAUUAAAGGCAAUAAAAGAAACAUAAUAUUGUUUUGCAAAAUUAGGCAUGCUUUUGAAACAUGCUUUAUCUGAACAGAAGCUCAGCCCCAAAACCAUAAAUGCUAAUUUUCAAACCAGAAAUAUGUCAGAUAGGAAUGGAAGGUCAUUUGAGAGCAUCCACAGAAUGACUUACUCAUCUGAGCUGAAAUCUAUAACCAGUACCUUUAAACUUUUGGCUAAUGCGAUUCUAAACAUUUUUUUAAAUCCCAGGUCAUAUUUUUCCAUUAUUUUGUGCUGGUUUCUUUUUUUCUUUAAUGUUUAAGGGAGCCAAAAUAAAGGAGAGAUCCUUAUACACUUAUAGUACUCUUAUAUGAAAGGAUCCUGAGAAAUAUACUUCAGUAAGAGAAUGGAUAAAGAUUGCUAAAAAAAGUUCUUAGUGUUCCUGUCAAGCUACAGUUUCUUCUCAAUCUUUGGGAUAUACCAGUUGGACUCUAAAAAGUGAAACACAAACAUUAUUUGGAGGCUUGACCAGACUAUCAAAACAUUACAGAAGGCACAGUGGCAUUUCAUUGUUAACAAAACAACUUACUUACAUGACAAGGAAGUGACUUGAAGGAAUCUUUAUCUUUAAAACAACAAAACAAAACAAAGCCCUUUAUUUACCUGCAUGUUAGUACUAGUUUUUCCUAUAUUGUUAUCACCAAGAUUAAAUAUAUCAGAUGUCACAAAAACGUCUGGAAUUUGCAAUUCAGGAAAAGCCAGAAGUAUUAAUAUAUUUAAUGGUUGCAAAUUGGUCUGUCGUCAGUCCUGAGGUAGAAAAGUGUGGAAUUGCUAACAAUUAUGCUAAUUACAACUCCAAAAUCAGGAUGACUUGAAAAGUGCAUUAUGUGAAAUUGUCAGUGUCUCUUUUUUCACAUAUGGUUGGUUGUUCUGAUUAUGCCUAAUUCUUCAGAGACAAAAGUAACAUUCAGUGAAGCUUCUGAAAACAAUUUAUCAUCAUUAAGUGCUGACUAAAAAUUGUGUACCACCACUCCCAAAUUUGUCACCUGCUUUACAGGCAAUGUAAUGAUUUGGAGAGAUAUUCCUCCCUAGUUUGUGGUUAUUUAUCCUAUUGUAAUGGUGGAGGGAGAUUGGAUGGAUGGAUAGAUGGAUGGGAGAGAGAGAAUUUAGAAAGUCAGCAUACGGAAAGAGUAGAGCCCUUUGUUCUAUUUGAAAUCUCUUCUAGAACCACCCUCCAUUCUAGCUAGUUGAAAACAGCUCCCUACUGGUAGCCAAACAAUUCUCAAUCAAAGACAUAAACAGACUCUAAUUUCUCUACAAAACAGAGCAAGAAAGAACAUGUAAUUCAAAACUUCCUCAUCUCCAGAUUUAAGGAAAUGUCUGAGAUGCUUAACAUUAGCAUUCCUGAGAUAGCAUGCUUUAAUAAUUGACAGCCAAUACAAAUUUUAAAAAUAAUUCUAUACCACCUGAUUAAAUACCUCACGGACAGAUCAGCUGUUUCUGCCUAGCCCAUGUGGUUGGUGAAAUCUUUGUUGUAUUGGGAUGGUUAGGAACUGGGAUAAGGGAAAGAGAAGGGAAAAGCAAAGGUAUGGUUCCAAGGGGGACCUGAUGCCAAUGAAUGGUACAUAUGCUGAUAAAGAAAAGCCACUGGGGAAUGAAAAGCGAAAACUAUAACCAUAUCUCUAAAUAGUGGCAAUACCCAAAGACCUAUUUGCCCAAGAGAUUGCCAAACAGCAUUUUAUACAGUUGUUUAAGCCAGAAAAACUAAUUUUAAUCUGGAUCAUGUGAUCCAGGAGGAAGACUUGGGUUGCUCUGGUCAAUUUGUUGUAGUGGUUAAAAGAUCCUGGUCCAGAAGCAGGGGCCUGUGAGUUCAAGUCCCCUUUUAGAUGCAAAACCAGCUGGGUGACUUUGCUCCAGUCAUUUUCUCUCAGCCUUGGGAAGAAGGCAAGAGCAAACCACUCCUGCAAAUUUUGCCAAGAAAAACAUAGUUGCCAGAAUUCAGGGUUGACUCAGUGGGCCAUGGCUACUAAUGAGAUUACUCUACAUCAGAGGUCCCCAACAUUUUGGGCACCAGGGACCGGUUCCAUGGAGAGAGUUUUUUUCACAGAUUGGAGGGGGUGUGGUUUUGCGUGCUGCCUGCAUCCUACAGAUGGGGUUUCGCUUGUUUGCACGGACCGGUUUCUGGCAUGCCAUGGACUAGUGCCGGUCCAUGGACCAGGGAUUGAGGACCCCUGCUCUACCCAGAAUUGAAAAGAUUCAAGAUUACCCACUAUGGAGGAAUGGCUGGUAAAGUUGACAUACAGUAUUUUUCUGAAAUGGACAAUUUUAACUUUUUUGAUUACAGAAAAGAUAUCAUUUACUGUACAUUUAUUGCUGACUGGAAGUCUCUUUGGGACUUUUGACAAAAAAUGAAAUAAUGAACUUCUGA